AAUUGUUUAUACAUAAAAGCAAACUAGUAUGCUAACAAAAAGAACAAAUGAAAACUGUAUAAACAUGAAAGAAACCCUGUUUCUUUUAGGAACAUAGAACUAAUGUAUCGAAAAAGAAGUGUUAGGACUCAAGUGUACCAUUGCAAAAAAUACAAGGCCAGUGGCACAAAAUCAAAAAAGGCUGGCAGUGAUGAAUUGGGCAAAUAAAGGAGAAAGAAAAUAAAGAGAGAAGGGUGUAUGAGAGAGCGAGAAGGAAGGAAGUUUUAGGGAAACACUUGGGAGAGAGUCUAGCUUCUCAAAAGCCAGACCAGGGGGAUUUGUUUAUUGUUCUAAUGUGUGUGGCUGUCUUUUGUAAAGAAGAGCAGUUGCUCAUACUGAUUGUAAAUACUGGGUGUCUAGCAAAUUGGUAUCAUAGCAGUAAGACUAGGGCAUGGUCUGGAGGAGAAUGGAAGGAAGGGUUGAAAAAGUGAAGAACCUAGAAAUGGUGAAAGAAAGGUUGACCAGUAUGGAUUCAAGGCUGGAAAACUUGGGCAGCAGCUUUGAAACAAUAACAGGUUAUUUGACGGAGCAUCUCCUCAAUGAAGACAUAGGAGGAGUGACAACAGAGGGAAAGCUUCAGUGGAGCAGCCCCUCUGCUGGCCAAAUUGAUUCCCAUGAGAGAGGCCACACUGCCUCCUCCAAAGAGACAAAAUGAGCAAGAGGCUGGGGAGAAUUUAGUAAUUAGGGUUGUAGCAUUUGGAGAAAGUUUAGAAACGGGACGAAAGGAUACACCUCACCAACGCUUAGAGAAGACCAAUUUGGUUGGAUAUUUAGGGCAGAACAAUAUGAAGACCUGUUUUUCAUGUAUCUCAAUUAGAUAAGCAAAUUGACCCAGCCAUAGUAAGUCAACCACUACCCAAUUGUCUGUAUAAUGAUGUUGAGCUUGAGUUGCAACCUACAAUGGUGAAGGACUUCACUAUUCUUCCCAAGGAGAGUUGGAGAAAUUGGUAAAGAGUCAACACAAGUCAGAUUGUGAAAAUUCUUGGGAGUGCUACUUGAGUUUAAGAAUCUCUUUCCUCAAUUUCAACUUGAGUACAACAUGCCUCUAGAUAGGUCGUGUAAUGUUAAAGACAUAUGUACCAUUGCAAAAAAUACAAGGUUGGUGAGGUUGAGGGCACAAAAGCAACUGAGGACCUAUUGAGGAGGGAAGAUGAUGUGGCUAGUGAUGAAUGGGGCAAUUUGAGGAGAAA